rfam:Schistosoma margrebowiei strain Zambia genome assembly, scaffold: SMRZ_contig0009545
GCCCUACUGAGGAGUCCCUUACUAGGACGAAACGACCGUCUAGUAC